CCCUGGGUAAAGGAACAAGCACACCUGUGGGUUUCGAGCUCAACUCACGUACUCAGAAAAAAUGACUGACAAACUGCAGAGACUAAGGCUUGGAGACUUGGGAAGAUAACUUUUUUAAAACAGAACAAAAUGCUUAAGACAUGAUGUGACGAAGUCCUACACAGGUAGAAGAAACAAGGUGCAAAUCAUCAGCCAGGUAUACUGUCAAAUGCCUAUAAUCCAGUCCUUCAGAAGCAGAGGCAGACAGCCACUUUAAGGACAGCCAGGGCUACACUGGGAGACCAUCAGCCAUAUGUAAUCAGACAACAGAAGCAGCAAUGACAUUCUGUCUUCUAUUUCAAAAAACUGGAGAGAUGGCUCAGCGGUUAAGAGCA